CGUAGGCAGCAAGCGUUGUUCGGAGUUACUGGGCGUAAAGAGUAUGUAGGCGGUUGCGUAAGUUCGGUGUGAAAUCUCCCGGCUUAACUGGGAGGGUGCGCCGAAAACUGCGUGGCUUGAGUGCGGGAGAGGAGAGCGGAAUUCCUGGUGUAGCGGUGAAAUGCGUAGAUAUCAGGAGGAACACCGGCGGUGUAGACGGCUCUCUGGACCGUAACUGACGCUGAGAUACGAAAGCGUGGGUAGCAAACAGGAUUAGAUACCCUGGUAGUCCACGCCCUAAACGAUGCACACUUGGUGUGAGCAGUUCAUUCUGUCGUGCCGGAGCUAACGCGUUAAGUGUGCCGCCUGGGGAGUACGGGUCGCAAGGCUG
rnacentral:rRNA from 1 species